rnacentral:rRNA from 1 species
UUAAAAAGCUCGUAGUUGGAUUUCUGUUGCGGUGAGUCGGCCGGCUCUUCGGAGUUGUAGCUAGAUUUCAUUGCAGCAUCUUGUCGUAAUCACCACUGGCAUUAAUUUGUUGGUGUGUGGGACCGACUCGUUUACUUUGAGAAAAUCAGAAUGUUCAAAGUGGGCUAUCGCCUUGAAUGUAUUAGCAUGGAAUAAUGAUAUAGGACUUUUGGUUCUAUUUUGUUGGCGUUCGAGAACCAAAGUAAUGAUUGAUAGGGACGAUUGGGGGCGUCAGUAUUCUGUAGCGAGAGGUGAAAUUCUUGGACCUACGGAAGACUAACAGCUGCGAAAGCGUUCGCCUAGGACGUUCUCUUUAAUUCAAGGAACGAAGGUUGGGGGAUC